CUUUUGAGGCCCUGUAAUUGGAAUGAGUCCACUUUAAAUCCUUUAAAGAGGAUCCACUGUAGGGCAAGUCUGGUGCCAACAGCUGCGGUAAUUCCAGCUCCAAUAGUGUAUAUUAAAGUUGCUGCAGUUAAAAAGCCCGUAGUUGGAUCUCGGGAGCAGGCGUGAGGUCCGCUGCGAGGCGAGCCACCGCCCGUCCCCACCCGUUAACUCUCGGCGCCCCCUCGAUGCUCUAGC
rnacentral:rRNA from 1 species